UCUAGCACCUUCGGUGUUCGAGUUGUAAUUUGAAGAUGGUAACCUUGGGUUUGGCUCUUGUCUAUGUUCCUUGGAACAGGACGUCAUAGAGGGUGAGAAUCCCGUCUGAUGAGAUGCCCAUUCCUAUGUAAGGUGCUAUCGAAGAGUCGAGUUGUUUGGGAAUGCAGCUCUAAGUGGGUGGUAAAUUCCAUCUAAAGCUAAAUAUUGGCGAGAGACCGAUAGCGAACAAGUACAGUGAUGGAAAGAUGAAAAGAACUUUGAAAAGAGAGUGAAAAAGUACGUGAAAUUGUUGAAAGGGAAGGGCAUUAGAUCAGACUUGGUGUUUUACGAUUAUCUUCUCUUCUUGAGUUGUGCACUCGUAUUUCACUGGGCCAGCAUCGAUUCGGAUGGCAAGAUAAUGGCAGUUGAAUGUGGCUUCACUUCGGUGGAGUGUUAUAGCUUCUGCUGAUAUUGCCUGUCUGGAUCGAGGGCUGCGUCUUUUGACUAGGAUGCUGGCGUAAUGAUCUAAUGCCGCCCGUCUUGAAACACGGACCAAGGAGUCUAACGUCUAUGCGAGUGUUUGGGUGUAAAACCCGUACGCGUAAUGAAAGUGAACGUAGGUGAGAGCUCUUUUGAGUGCAUCAUCGACCGAUCCUGAUGUUUUCGGAUGGAUUUGAGUAAGAGCAUAGCUGUUGGGACCCGAAAGAUGGUGAACUAUGCCUGAAUAGGGUGAAGCCAGAGGAAACUCUGGUGGAGGCUCGUAGCGGUUCUGACGUGCAAAUCGAUCGUCGAAUUUGGGUA
rnacentral:rRNA from 1 species